GCACUGCUGAGGAGUCCCACACUAGGACGAAACGGCCGUCCAGUAC
rfam:Schistosoma rodhaini strain Burundi genome assembly, scaffold: SROB_scaffold0004060